UGAUAGUAUAAAAUUUUUGGCAGUGUUUUUUACUCUAAUAGGGCGUGAAGGUGCGAGUAAACAAAGAAGUGGAAAGGAAGGUCGGGACUGUAACUCACGCGAAAGAGUUGUUCUAGUAGAUGGAAUAGGAAGAGUUACGCUACUUUGCCACGCCAGGGGAGAAAAAGUAAAUUUGGAAAGGAAUAGGGAACCUUUUUCUCAUAGCUUUUUGGGGUAUUGUACGGAAUGCAUCAUUACCAUCAUCCGUACACCACAGGAAGAGUAGCGAUGGCAGGUGGCAUGUUCCGGUAAGUUAUGUUUGGGCGAAACCGAAUGCGAGACCUUUUAGGCGAGAUGAAGAUGGUGAGAUGGUGAAACAAAAAGGUUAAUUUGCAGGGAGAAAAAAAGGUUAGACGGAGGGCUGGAAGAGGGAUGUCAGCUUGAGUGAAGAGCUAACAAGAGCGGAAAAGAAUAGAGAGGCAAAGGAAGAACACUAUGGUUUUGUUUAGGGAAUAAGAAUAUGAAGUUGUAGUGCAUAUAUAGUAAAGGAAUGGAAAGGAAUGAGAAAGAUAGAGUGGAUAGAUGAAUGAUGAAUGGAUGAAUAGGUGAAUGAAGUGGA